AUUGAACGCUGGCGGCAGGCCUAACACAUGCAAGUCGAGCGGAUGAAGGGAGCUUGCUCCUGGAUUCAGCGGCGGACGGGUGAGUAAUGCCUAGGAAUCUGCCUGGUAGUGGGGGAUAACGUCCGGAAACGGGCGCUAAUACCGCAUACGUCCUGAGGGAGAAAGUGGGGGAUCUUCGGACCUCACGCUAUCAGAUGAGCCUAGGUCGGAUUAGCUAGUUGGUGGGGUAAAGGCCUACCAAGGCGACGAUCCGUAACUGGUCUGAGAGGAUGAUCAGCCACACUGGAACUGAGACACGGUCCAGACUCCUACGGGAGGCAGCAGUGGGGAAUAUUGGACAAUGGGCGAAAGCCUGAUCCAGCCAUGCCGCGUGUGUGAAGAAGGUCUUCGGAUUGUAAAGCACUUUAAGUUGGGAGGAAGGGCAGCAAGUUAAUACCUUGCUGUUUUGACGUUACCAACAGAAUAAGCACCGGCUACCUUCGUG
rnacentral:rRNA from 1 species